rnacentral:rRNA from 1 species
UACGAAGCGUACAAACGUUAUUCGGAAUCACUGGGCUUAAAGGGUGCGUAGGCGGCCAUGUAAGUGAGGUGUGAAAUCCCUCGGCUCAACCGAGGAACUGCGCUUCAUACUGCAUGGCUUGAGGGAGACAGGGGUAAGCGGAACUGAUGGUGGAGCGGUGAAAUGCGUUGAUAUCAUCAGGAACACCGGUGGCGAAAGCGGCUUACUGGGUCUCUUCUGACGCUGAGGUACGAAAGCUAGGGGAGCGAACGGG